AGCAGCCGCGGUAAUUCCAGCUCCAAUAGCGUAUAUUAAAGUUGUUGCAGUUAAAAAGCUCGUAGUUGAAUUUCGGGAUCAGUUGGUCGGUCGUGCCUCGGUACGUACUGGUCAAAUUGAUUCCUACCUUCUGACGAACCACGAUGUCAUUAAUUUGGUGUCGCGGGAAAUCAGGGCUGUUACUUUGAAAAAAUUAGAGUGUUUAAAGCAGGCUCGCGCUUGAAUACAUUAGCAUGGAAUAAUGAAAUAGGACGUUUGAUUCUAUUUUGUUGGUUUCUAGGAUCGACGUAAUGAUUAAUAGGGAUAGUUGGGGGCAUUAGUAUUCAAUUGUCAGAGGUGAAAUUCUUGGAUUUAUUGAAGACUAACUACCGCGAAAGCAUUUGCCAAGGAUGUUUUCAUUAAUCAAGAACGAAAGUUAGGGGAUCGAAGACGAUCAGAUACCGUCGUAGUCUUAACCAUAAACUAUGCCGACUAGGGAUCGGAUGAUGUUAAUUUUUUAAUGACUUUCAUUCGGCGCCUU
rnacentral:rRNA from 1 species